AACGAACGCUGGCGGCAUGCCUAACACAUGCAAGUCGAACGAGACCUUCGGGUCUAGUGGCGCACGGGUGCGUAACGCGUGGGAAUCUACCCUUGGGUUCGGAAUAACAGUUAGAAAUGACUGCUAAUACCGGAUGUUGACGUAAGUCCAAAGAUUUAUCGCCCAAGGAUGAGCCCGCGUAAGAUUAGCUUGUUGGUGGGGUAAUGGCCUACCAAGGCGACGAUCUUUAGCUGGUCGGAGAGGAUGAUCAGCCACACUGGGACUGAGACACGGCCCAGACUCCUACGGGAGGCAGCAGUGGGGAAUAUUGGACAAUGGGCGAAAGCCUGAUCCAGCAAUGCCGCGUGAGUGAUGAAGGCCUUAGGGUUGUAAAGCUCUUUUACCAGGGAUGAUAAUGACAGUACCUGGAGAAUAAGCUCCGGCUAACUCCGUGCCAGCCGCCGCAGUAA
rnacentral:rRNA from 1 species